AGGGUUUGAUCAUGGCUCAGAACGUACGCUGGCGGCACGCCUAACACAUGCAAGUCGAACGAAGUAGUAAUACUUAGUGGCAGACGGGUGAGUAACAUGUGGGUAUCUGCCCUUUGGCCUGGAAUAACACGAGGAAACUUGUGCUAAUACUGGAUAAGUCUUUACGGAGAAAGCUUUAUGCACCAUUGGAUGAGCCCGCACUUGAUUAGUUUGUUGGUGGGGUAAUGGCCUACCAAGACUUUGAUCAAUAGCUGAUUUGAGAGGAUGAUCAGCCACAUUGGGACUGAGACACGGCCCAAACUCCUACGGGAGGCAGCAGUGGGGAAUCUUGCACAAUGGAGGAAACUCUGAUGCAGCGAUGCCGCGUGAGUGAAGAAGGCCCUUGGGUUGUAAAGCUCUUUCGUCGGGGAAGAAAAUGACUGUACCCGAAUAAGAAGGUCCGGCUAACUUCGUGCCAGCAGCCGCGGUAAUACGAAGGGACCUAGCGUAGUUCGGAAUUACUGGGCUUAAAGAGUUCGUAGGUGGUUGAAAAAGUUGGUGGUGAAAUCCCAGAGCUUAACUCUGGAACUGCCAUCAAAACUUUUCAGCUAGAGUUUGAUAGAGGAAAGCAGAAUUUCUAGUGUAGAGGUGAAAUUCGUAGAUAUUAGAAAGAAUACCAAUUGCGAAGGCAGCUUUCUGGAUCAUUACUGACGCUGAGGAACGAAAGCAUGGGUAGCGAAGAGGAUUAGAUACCCUCGUAGUCCAUGCCGUAAACGAUGUGUGUUAGACGUUGGAAAUUUAUUUUCAGUGUCGCAGCGAAAGCGAUAAACACACCGCCUGGGGAGUACGACCGCAAGGUUAAAACUCAAAUGAAUUGACGGGGACCCGCACAAGUAGUGGAGCAUGUGGUUUAAUUCGAAGAUACGCGCAGAACCUUACCAACACUUGACAUGUUCGUCGCGACUUUAAGAGAUUAAAGUUUUCGGUUCGGCCGGACGAAACACAGGUGCUGCAUGGCUGUCGUCAGCUCGUGUCGUGAGAUGUUGGGUUAAGUCCCGCAACGAGCGCAACCCUCACUUUUAGUUGCCAUCAUUAAGUUGGGCACUCUGAAAGAACUGCCAGUGAUAAGCUGGAGGAAGGUGGGGAUGACGUCAAGUCCUCAUGGCCCUUACGUGUUGGGCUACACACGUGCUACAAUGGUAUCUACAACAGGAAGCGAAACAGCGAUGUUAAGCAAAUCCUUAAAAGAUACCUCAGUUCGGAUUGCACUCUGCAACUCGAGUGCAUGAAGCUGGAAUUACUAGUAAUCGUGGAUCAGCGUGCCACGGUGAAUGCGUUCCCGGGUCUUGUACACACCGCCCGUCACACCAUGGGAGUUGGUUCUACCUUAAGGCAAGGUUUAAUACCCUUGACCACGGUAUAGUCAGCGACUGGGGUGAAGUCGUAACAAGGUAACCGUA
rnacentral:rRNA from 1 species